rnacentral:rRNA from 1 species
GAUGAACGCUGGCGGCGUGCCUAAUACAUGCAAGUCGAGCGAACAGACGAGGAGCUUGCUCCUCUGACGUUAGCGGCGGACGGGUGAGUAACACGUGGAUAACCUACCUAUAAGACUGGGAUAACUUCGGGAAACCGGAGCUAAUACCGGAUAAUAUAUUGAACCGCAUGGUUCAAUAGUGAAAGACGGUUUUGCUGUCACUUAUAGAUGGAUCCGCUCCGCAUUAGCUAGUUGGUAAGGUAACGGCUUACCAAGGGAACGAUGCGUAGCCGACCUGAGAGGGUGAUCGGCCACACUGGAACUGAGACACGGUCCAGACUCCUACGGGAGGCAGCAGUAGGGAAUCUUCCGCAAUGGGCGAAAGCCUGACGGAGCAACGCCGCGUGAGUGAUGAAGGUCUUCGGAUCGUAAAACUCUGUUAUUAGGGAAGAACAAAUGUGUAAGUAACUAUGCACGUCUUGACGGUACCUAAUCAGAAAGCCACGGCUAACUACGUG